ensembl:lncRNA
UAAAUAGAUAAUUACUCUCUCUGUGUUCUAAUCUAAAUAGAUAAUUACUGACUCUCUCUCUCUCUGUGUUCUAAUCUAAAUAGAUAAUUACUGACUCUCUCUGUGUUCUAAUCUCAAUAGAUAAUUACUGACUCUCUCUCUCUGUGUUCUAAUCUAAAUAGAUAAUUACUGACUCUCUCUGUGUUCUAAUCUAAAUAGAUAAUUACUCUCUCUCUCUGUGUUCUAAUUUAAAUAGAUAAUUACUGACUCUCUCUCUGUGUUCUAAUCUCAAUAGAUAAUUACUGACUCUCUCUCUGUGUUCUAAUCUAAAUAGAUAAUUACUGACUCUCUCUCUGUGUUCUAAUCUCAAUAGAUAAUUACUGACUCUCUCUGUGUUCUAAUCUAAAUAGAUAAUUACUGACUCUCUGUGUUCUAAUCUCAAUAGAUAAUUACUGACUCUCUGUGUUCUAAUCUAAAUAGAUAAUUACUGACUCUCUGUGUUCUAAUCUAAAUAGAUAAUUACUGACUCUCUCUCUCUCUCUGUGUUCUAAUCUAAAUAGAUAAUUACUGACUCUCUGUGUUCUAAUCUAAAUAGAUAAUUACUGACUCUCUCUCUCUCUCUGUGUUCUAAUCUAAAUAGAUAAUUACUGACUCUCUCUGUGUUCUAAUCUAAAUAGAUAAUUACUGACUCUCUCUCUGUGUUCUAAUCUAAAUAGAUAAUUACUGACUCUCUCUGUGUUCUAAUCUAAAUAGAUAAUUACUGACUCUCUCUCUGUGUUCUAAUCUAAAUAGAUAAUUACUGACUCUCUCUGUGUUCUAAUCUAAAUAGAUAAUUACUGACUCUCUCUCUGUGUUCUAAUCUAAAUAGAUAAUUACUGACUCUCUCUCUCUGUGUUCUAAUCUAAAUAGAUAAUUACUGACUCUCUGUGUUCUAAUCUAAAUAGAUAAUUACUGACUCUCUGUGUUCUAAUCUAAAUAGAUAAUUACUGACUCUCUCUCUCUCUGUGUUCUAAUUUAAAUAGAUCAUUAUUGACUUGUGCAGCAAUGUAAACAUGCUAUAAAAUACCUUUAGUCUUUACAUUAGAGGGUAUGAAUGCAGGGCUUGUAUGACCUCCAUGUGAUUUGCACUAAUUUCAUUUAACAGUAGCAAUGUGAUGCAUUAUAUGGUUUCUGUGACAGGGUACAGUAUAAAAGGCUUUUGUAACAUUUGCUAUACACUGUAUUGUUUGCAUAAAGGUUUUGCUUGUUUUCCUGUCCCAUGCUUUCAGGGGAAUCUUUGCACACAAACAAGUGAUUGUAGUUAGGCAGGCCUAAAGUACUGUAGCAAUGUUAACAUGAAACAUACAACUGUUUUAAAACCUGUCCACAGCUUGUCCAUAUGAACGAAUAUAAAGACAUAUAAAGCAAUUG